AUUGAACGCUGGAGGCAGGCCUAACACAUGCAAGUCGAAAGAGGGGCGGACGGGUGAGUAAUGCUUGGGAAACUAGCUUAUGGAGGGGGAUAACUUCGGGAAACUGUAGCUAAUACCGCGUACCGAAGGAUGAGCCCAAGUGUGUUGAGGUAGUUGGUGAGGUAAAGGAUCACUAAGCCGACGAUCUCUAGCUGGUCUGAGAGGAUGACCAGCCACACUGUGACUGAGACACGGCCCAGACUCCUACGGGAGGCAGCAGUGGGGAAUAUUGCGCAAUGGGGGCAACCUGACGCAGCCAUGCCGCGUGAAUGAAGAAGGCCUUCGGGUUGUAAAGUUCUUUCGGUAGCGAGGCGUUAACUACAGAAGAAGCACCGGCUAACUCCGUGCCAGCAGUCGCGGUAAUUC
rnacentral:rRNA from 1 species